UAAGUUGACUAGACAGUCGCUAUAUAUGAUAAAUAUAUAGAGGAAAGUCCGGGCUCCAUAGAGCAAAGUGAUGGCUAACAGCCAUACGCCGUGAGGUGAGGAAUAGGGCCACAGAGACGAGCGUAUUUAGUUACGGUGAAACGCGGUAACCUCCACUUGGAGCAAGGCCAAAUAGGGUAGCAUUGGCACGGCUCGUGUCGCUACCGGGUAGGCUGCUUGAGUGCAUAAGCAAUUGUGCAACUAGAUGAAUGACUGUCCACGACAGAACCCGGCUUAUCGGUCAACUUAACCU
rnacentral:RNase_P_RNA from 2 species